rnacentral:rRNA from 1 species
AAAACAUGUCUUAUUGAUUUAUAAUUUUAGGUUUAUCCUGCUCAAUGGUUUACUAAAUAGCUGCAGUAUUUUAACUGUACAAAGGUAGCAUAAUCAUUUGUUUCUUAAUUGGGGGCUUGUAUGAAUGGUUGGACGAAGUAUUUUCUUUCUUUAUUUUAAUUUAUGAAUUUAAUUUUUUGGUUAAAAUUCCAAGAUUUUUUUGAGGGACGAGAAGACCCUAUAGAAUUUUAUUAUUUAUAAAUAUUAUAAAUUUUAUUUUUUAAUUUUUGUUUUGUUUAAAUUAAUUUGGUUGGGGUGAUUGUGAAAUUUUUUUAACUUUUAUUUAUUAUUUUUCAAUAAUUUUUGUCUUUUUGAUCCUUUAUUAUGGAUUACAAGAUUAAAUUACCUUAGGGAUAACAGCGUAAUUUUUUUGGAGAGUUCAUAUCGAUAAAUGAGUUUGCGACCUCGAUGUUGGAUUAAAAUAAUUCUUAGGUGUAGGUGCUUAGGAUAUAGGUCUGUUCGACCUUUAAAUUUUUA